AUGCCUCAAUAAUGCCAGCACUGGGCUCUGACUCUUGGGAAGACAGUCAGUGCCCCCUGGGCCUUUGACUUCCAGGGGUCCAAAGAGCCC